rnacentral:tRNA from 1 species
GGGUUCAUAGCUCAGUGGUAGAGCAUUUGACUGCAGAUCAAGAGGUCACCGGUUCGAAACGCGCUGGGCCCU